rnacentral:lncRNA from 9 species
GCCGGCGGCGCUCCUGCCCGCUGAUUCGCAGCUGCCCGCGGCUCCCACGCUCUACUGCCCGGGUCCCUGCCCCGCGAGGCGCCCAAUUACCCGCUUACCUUCUGCCCUCACACCUGGCCUCCCGAAAGGCGCUUUCGUUGUCUCCGCCAGGCGGUGCAGUAGCUGAUGGAGAUGAAAGGCGUGAGGAGCUGCUUUGAGGACCAAAGCCGCGACAUCCCACCACCUGGCCAAGAGCACUGUUCGUGACCGACCCCUUGCCCUAAAUACCCGUCUGUAUUGCUCGGGACCCGCAGGAGCGACUCUCUGAAAGCGGCUGGCUCUGUGGGCCGGGGCGCUUCCCAGGGACUGGCCGCUGCUAUGUCUUUGCUUUAGGAGCCGAAGUGAAGCGACGGAAGACUGCUGUUGGUGCCUCCUGCGGUACCUGAACACGGGAGCGACCGGCGCGGGAUGCAGGGCGGUGACGCUAAAGCUUGUGCUUCUUUCUUCAGUGAAGGGACACAGCCACCUUGAGUUCCUGGACAGGAAAAGGGCUUCGAACGCCAAGAGCAAGGAUGGAGGCACUGAGAUGGAAAGCAGUUUUCAGCAAAGGAGGAAAAGCUUGGGAGCCUGGCAUUCACAGGGGUGUCUGCGGGCAUGUCUGCCCGAGGUCUGGGAGCAGGAAUGACAAGAGACCUCACACUCGGCAGCCUGGGGGCAGCUCCGGGGACCAGGAGCCGGGCCUUCGGAAGGAAAGAUCCCCGGGUCCCGGAGACAGCGGCUACACCGCACAGGGCAGACGACCCGACUCCAACUGAACAGGUACGGCUGAAAGAGACCUCACGUGCCCUGGGUGGCACUGCACUGACCGACAGCUCUCAUCCCACAUUUGCCUGAACCCAGAGAAUGACAACGCCAAGAGCGAGCCCUGCUGCAGACCGUGGACUCUGGUCGUCUGGGUAGGUUCUGAGUGUGUGUGGGGGGGGGGGGGGGCGCGUUGGUAAUGGGGAGACUGUGCGAGCGGGGACAUGGGUGGACUUUAUUGGGAACCCCUGGACUUUCCUGUCCAUGUUGCUGUGAACCUUCAACUGCACCAAAAACUAAAAUCUAUUAAAAAAUACGUUAUAACCGCCACUUAGGAUAAUGCAGAUUUUCUUGCUCUUUCCAGAACCUCCAGAGACAGCUGUAAGAAAAUGAAUUGACUUUUGCUCAAAACACAGAAAUCCUCAGAACCAAAAAUAAUCCCAGGAAGGAAAUAAAAUACAAGACACGCAGAACUCCGCAACGAUGGAGUAAUAACAGUAAAGACGACAGCGACACUCGGAGUCUGGAAGGCCUAACCUUGACCUGUGGGUAAUGUCGUCUGGGCAGCUUAACAUGCCCUCAAGCUACUGCUGAGAUCAUUUCAAACUGGCAGUCUGAAGCAUCGGGACUGAAUUCUCUUGGUUAAAAACAUUCCAUUUUUCUUACUCAAAAAGAGAAACAUCAAAUUCAUGUCAGGAAUACUGUGGCUGGGCCAAAACAGAACUUGGGGAAAAAUUAAAAGUCCUUUAAAAUACUAUGCUUCCAUGUCAGCUUAGUACAAUAUUUUGAACUUUGUAUUUCUAAUUCUGGAUGACUUAACUCGGCCUUAGGCAUUUCUGUUAUUUGAUUCCUAGUACUGCCUAGAUCCAAUACUCUGAUUUCUGAUCUUAUACACCUUUUCAAACUGCUUUCUUUCACAAUAUUUUACCUAUAUUUCAAGACCUCAUUAAAAUUUUACUUCUUCCGAGACUUUCCCGACCCCACCACUGUUUCCGUCAUUUCCACUGCAUUCGUCAGGCGCAGGAACAGGCGAAUUCUAACAGAUAUACUGGAGGUAAGAUAUAUCUGGUCCUCCCUCUGGAUAGGUGGGCUACUCUAAGGUAAAGCUGUUCUUCUGCAGAAUAGGCCUCUUUUCUGGGGCUGAUCUAAGGUAAGAAUGACAAUCAUGCCCUGUCCUCACAAUGCCUAGCACUUGCUAGACGUGAGACUUGCCGGACAGCUGUUUGGUCUCCAGAAGUGCAUCCUAAAUGUGCGACUGAGUGCAGGCUCCUCAGCUUCCUUGUGCUCUAGGCCUCCAAGCAGCUCCCCACCUACAUCGCUGUCCCCGACAGUCAGGCUGCAGCAGACUCUACUUCUGCACAUUCCCGCAAACUGCAGGCUUGUCCGAUUCCAGGUACAACACAGCCCUUCACAUAUACUGACUGGCCCUGCUACACAUUGUUACUGGCCCCGUGAGAGGCCGAGAAAUGGAGGCAGGAAGAGGACGCCAGUUUCUGAGGCCCCU